UCCCUGGUAGCUCAGCGGUAGAGCAUUCGACUGUUAAUCGAAUGGUCGGGGGUUCGAAUCCCUCCCGGGGAGCCA
rnacentral:tRNA from 1 species